UUUAAUAGUGAAAAGACAAUAAAUAAAAAAUCAAACAAAUAAUAAAAGUGAGAUAUGCUCAAAGGAAAGUGUGCGUACGUCGGAUGGAAAAAUAAGCCAAUGAUUUCUACUGGCACGUGACUACCGCUUUUGUUGACUGACGAGAAAAUGGGCUUUUUCGUUUGGUUUUAAUAAUAAUUAACCAUGGUCCAUAUGAAGCCCACCUGUCCAACCCUAAUCUUCUUCGACGAAGACGGCGAGGUCUGGCUCUUCCAUUCCCUGCAAUCUCUGUUUCUUAUCUGUAUUUAUCACAAAGUCUGGAUCAUUAACUUCUGUUCUUCAAUCCUUUCUUAGUGGUUUUGUUCCACCUCCCCCUUCUCCUAUUUAAAUCCUUCCCUCAAAUGUUACGUCAAACCAAAAUCUACCUCCUUGAGAGAAGAUCAGGCUAUGGCAAUGAAACCUGCGAAAUCCACCGGAAAGUUCCCCCACCCUCAAAUUUAAUGACGUCUCACCAGGUCAGCCGAAUCGGAACUCCGAUUAAUCGAAUUUCUGGGAGUUGAGAAACACAGAAAAAUGUUGGAUUCUUAUUGGCUUGGAACUGCUCCUCAUCUUUGAACAAAAAAAGGUAUAGCCAUUAUUCUUAAUUUUAUGAUUACACUCACUGUCAGGAUGCUCGAUAUAUUAUAUCAGCUACUACUGUAUAGAGUUAGUUAAGUCAAAUCGGUAAAUCUGUUACACAUGUAUGUCAUAUCAGGCCAAUAGACCAUAAGCAAGAAGUACCACAUGAUGGUGCUAUGUGUGACCUCCUAUGGUCGGAUCCUAAAGAUACUGUUGACGAUUAGGGGUUGAGAUCUAUGUGUGCUAGAUUCUUUUUUGGCAGCUGUGUUUUCAUGUCUUUUAACCACACACAACAACAUAGAUCAAGCCCACAACAUAGACUACACCAGAACAAGUUAAUAUCAGAUUUUACUGUGCCUUUCUUUGAAGCAUCCUAUUUAGUUGCUGCGCACUUCUUACUUUUCUUGUGGAUAUCUGUCUAGAUUUUUUUUUUAAACUCUGUACCGCAAGAAAAAAAUGUUGUUGUUACAACUUACAACCCAUGGAAGCAUGAGACCGUUCAUAUGAAGAGAAGAUUGUUUGACAAAGGAUUGGUUGUAAAUUCUGAUGGAGAAUAAGUAAAUGGUGUUUCCUCUGCCGCAGUUGGUCUUCAUUGUAUUGGACCUGUUGAUAAAUCACACAACCUUUUUGACCCAGAGUACGGUGAUGGCGGCUGUCACUUCCUUACUCAGUGAUGGAAUACACAUUGGGGUUUUAGUCCGAGGGAAGAAGGCUAGAGAUGAGAACAAGUCAACAACUCUCUAUCACAGAGUGGUCGUUCGUGUAGAGAAAAUCCAGGCAACCUAGGCUUCACCUUGGAGCUUGGUCCUGGAAAACUGUAUGUACCUCUUUUAAGCUCUUAUCAUUUCUAAUCCAACUGAUUCCACAAGGAGAAUUGGAGUGUUACAAGCUUUGUAAGAAAUUUCAUUUAUUAUUGCUGUUAGGAAAUACAAGCAAACAUAGUAAAAUUUUUUCAAUAUUUUUGUUAUCAAGUAUGUUAUUAAUUUGUUUGAGGAUUGAAAAACUUCUAAGUUUAGCUUAUUGAAUUAUUAUAUAAGCUGUUUUUUUUUACGUUUGUAUUUUUUAUAAAUUUUUAUUUGUUUGGCAGUAUAUAUAAAGAAGGAUCGAAUAUUUUAGACCGGUUUAGCGAUUUGUUCUCUAAUUUGACAUCAGUUUCUAUGAGAUAGAAUAAAAACUUAGACAGAGGCAGAGAGGAGAAAAUAUGUUUGUAAUGUGUUUGGUAAUUUCUGAUUUAUCUGGUUGUUUGGUUGUUUCAGAAGAGAGUACACGAGAAAAAGGAAACAUGAAGUUUUGUUAGGACGGUUGCUCAAAAAAAAAGGAAGUUUUGUUAGGACUUAGGACUACUGAAAUCAUAAAUUAUUUAUAAGUCAAAACAUAUUAUUACUCGGGAGUUGAAAUCUUUGGGUUUUAUUUGCUCUUCCCAUGACUGUGUUUUGUAGUUUACGAUUUCUCCGUUUCUGAAUUAUUGGGUUUAAAGCUUUUACGAACGGAUUCAUAUUUAAGUAGAAGAUGCAUCAUGUAAGGUUUAAUUCGAUUGUUUCUUAAUU